AGGGCAGCGGUGCUGGAGGAGUGAGCGCGGCUCAGCAGCAGCCCUGUGCUGCACGCGCAGCUGGCCUGUCUCCCCCUUAGGCUGCAAACAAGGAUUGAUUGCCCGAUGUGGGUUCCUGCCGUUCCCUCUGGUACGGUCCCCGGAGGCUCCGCGGGUAACUUAUGGCUGCGUCGGUGCAGGUGGCUGCUCGCAGGUUGGCAGCUUCGCCACUGGGCACCUGUGCCUGCACUGAGGCACUAAAUAAGCCCAAUGGCUUCGCUUCCCAUCCCAGCCAGGGUACCCCAGCCAAGCUGCAGGUAAAAGGGCAGCGGGGUGGAAUCCUCCCACCCAGAACCCAGCCUCAGUGCCACAAAUCACUGGCCCACCCCUGCGGGCACUGGGGUCCCCAGGCCAGGGGAGCAGAUGGCUGCAGCCAGCUCAUGGCGUUCUUGUUACAGCAGGCAACGGGGUCCCUUAAAUACCAAUACCGCAAUUAAAUGGGACUCACCGAUCACUGUGAAGUCUUGCUACCUGGCUGCACACGGGGCGAGCAGAGGCAGCCGGUGCCUUGCCCGGCGGAGGCUGGCAGCACUGCUGGCGCUCGCUCCGUGCCCUGGGAGAUGCGUGGAGACAUAUGCUUCCCCAGUCUGCUCGAGCCUUGGUGCAUUUCAGCCAUUCCCUGCAAAUGGCCUCAGAGGGUUUAGUUGUGGAAGGAGGUGCCGGGGACACCAAGGCGACGAGAUGUUGGCUGCCCUGCAGCCCCCAUUGUGCUGCAAUGGAAAAGGCUGGAAGAGUCAGGGAGAAGUUGGGGGUGGGAGGAAAGCCCCAGGGCCACGUGCUGGGUAUUUCUGGGGGCACAGGCUCCGAUAAAGCUGGACCUCUGCCCUAGGGUGAACCAAGUCACCCUGAACCUAGGCCAUCCCAGUCAGAGGUAUAAGCCCAGCCUAUAAACCUGUGCCUUCAAGGAUUUAGUGUCUCUUGAGCCUUGUCCUGACUCAAGACAGCUGGAAAAACAGAAGAGAGCUUGCAACUGUCUCCCCAGGUUUCCCUGACUGUGGUGAGCGCUUCCAGUAUCAUCUCACCAGUUUGAAAGACCGGAGGAUGUGACCUGACCUGGUGCCUGCAGCCAGCAUCACACCCCCAGCUCCCAGCUCUCCCUUCGGGCAGCAGGGAUGUGCCAGGGGAGCGUACAUGGAGAGCAGGAACUUCCAGAAGGCUUCUUCAAAUCACUAACCCCUUCCUAAGGAUGCUAAACCCCUUCCUAAAUCUGUCACCCUAAAACAGGUGCAUGGGCUGAAGUCAGAGCUGGAGUGAAACAUCCCUGCUCCAUCCGGGUGGUGUUACGCACUUGGUGGUGAUGCCAGGACUCUGCGUGAGGGACAGACCCAGCUCAGCAAUUCCUGGGGAGCUGCCUUGUGGAAACCAGGCUCUACAACCCUUACUGUCCUACCAGGAGAAGAAACAUGUUGACUUACAGAACCACUCCGAGGGCUCGCGGCUGGGAAGCUGAAGCCAAGAGGCUGCAGAUGCAUUGCAGGCUGCAAACGCCCUGCUACCCUGGGGCAAGGCUUGUGGGAGAGCGGUAUUUCACGCGGCUGGACAUUUCUUCCUCGCCAAGGUUUGUGAUGCUCCUCAAGGGAUCUCUGUGCUGCAAUAUAACAUCCCUGUAUAGGGAAAUCGUCUUAAGUAAUGGUUUCUGCAGGUUUUUUUUCCAAGGUAUAUUUAUCAUAUCUUUUAUUGGAAUAAAAUUAAAGCGAAAUUAGAAACUAAAAUAACUUUAAUUACGAA